rnacentral:rRNA from 1 species
UAAGGAAUAUUGGUCAAUGGACGCAAGUCUGAACCAGCCAUGCCGCGUGAAGGAUGAAGGUCCUCUGGAUUGUAAACUUCUUUUAUAGGGGACGAAAAAAGGGAAUUCUUUCUCGUCUGACGGUACCCUAGGAAUAAGCACCGGCUAACUCCGUGCCAGCAGCCGCGGUAAUACGGAGGGUGCAAGCGUUAUCCGGAUUUACUGGGUUUAAAGGGAGCGUAGGUGGGUCUGUAAGUCAGUGGUGAAAUCUCCGAGCUUAACUCGGAAACUGCCAUUGAUACUAUAGGUCUUGAAUAUUCUGGAGGUAAGCGGAAUAUGUCAUGUAGCGGUGAAAUGCUUAGAUAUGACAUAGAACACCGAUUGCGAAGGCAGCUUGCUACAGGAUUAUUGACACUGAGGCUCGAAAGCGUGGGGAUCAAACA